UACGUAGGUGGCGAGCGUUGUCCGGAUUUACUGGGCGUAAAGAGCGCGCAGGCGGUCGUUCAAGUCGCGUGUGAAAGCCCCCGGCUCAACUGGGGAGGGUCACGCGAUACUGAUCGACUCGAAGGCAGGAGAGGGAAGUGGAAUUCCCGGUGUAGUGGUGAAAUGCGUAGAUAUCGGGAGGAACACCAGUGGCGAAGGCAGCUCGCUGGGACGGUACUGACGCUGAGACGCGAAAGCGUGGGGAGCAAACAGG
rnacentral:rRNA from 1 species